rnacentral:rRNA from 1 species
GAUGAACGCUGGCGGCGUGCUUAAUACAUGCAAGUCGAACGAAUGGAUGUCUAGCUUGCUAGACUGAAGUUAGUGGCGAACGGGUGAGUAAUACAUAGGCAAUCUGCCCUGAAGUGUGGGAUAGCUAUUGGAAACGAUAAUUAAUACCGCAUAGGUAGUAAGAAGGCAUCUUCCUACUAUUAAAGAUGCGUUUGCAUCGCUGCAGGAUGAGCUUAUGGUGUAUUAGCUAGUUGGUGAGAUAAAAAGCCCACCAAGGCUAUGAUACAUAGCUGGUCUGAGAGGAUGAACAGCCACAUUGGGACUGAGACACGGCCCAGACUCCUACGGGAGGCAGCAGUAAGGAAUUUUCGGCAAUGGGGGCAACCCUGACCGAGCAACGCCGCGUGAGUGAUGAAGGUCUUCGGAUCGUAAAACUCUGUUGUAAAGGAGAAUGUCAUAUAUAGGAAAUGAUAUAUGAGUGACGG